GACUGAUUUAUCGACCAGGGAAUUACUGCCAGCAAACAGGCACGCCGGCUAUCCCUUCUUACACAGAUUUUUGGCAUGUUUGUUUGUUUUGUUUUUAUUCCGUCAGAGAGCUUUUUGUUUCUUUUCAUCUAUCAGACUUCUGGAACUCCAGCCUAGCCUAGCCGGCUAUUCCAAGUCGUCUGCUCAGACUCUAUUAAAGAGAAAAACCAGAACUGUACUGGAAAAUAACGUAUCUGAGGUAGAACUAACCAGGAGGAGAUUAUCACAAAGUGAAACUGUUCUUUGGAUCUGCUAGGUGAGAGUGAAAGUAAAGGUCACUUUUUGAAUCCUCUUGCUGAUUGGUGAACAUUACCAGUCUCUCUUCGCGUUUCUCAUUUUUGUUUAUGCGUUGUCCACAUGGGAUCUGAAAGACAAAAAUAUGAAGGACGUGUGGCUUGGAUGUGUCUCAAGGGAAGAUAAGCAUGUCAGUGACUGGAGGAGAAAACCACCUGAAGCAGAACCAAGCUUUUGCUGAAGAAUUCUGCCAAAAAGAGGAUAUAUCAAGAAUUACCACCCAAAGAGCAUUAACUUAGAAGUCUGGCAUUCUGGACCAAAUUCUAUAAGAUCAACAUUGAAUAAUUGACACAUUCCCCAUCUGUGGAAAAACUGAGUUUGGGUAUUGGAAGCCCUCUACAUCUUAUUUCAAGGAACAUUUUUCUUACAGAAGUUUCUUGUUUUCAAUUGGAAAUCUAAAAUGGAGAAAUAACUUUUGCUCUUAAGCUGUGAUUUCCACCUCUUGUGACUCUUCUUUACAGCCAAUUGUAUUCAUGUGAUCUUCAGAUCUCAACUCCACAUCUACGGCAUUGCGGAGUUUGUACGUUUGGGAAUAGACAGGAACUUUAAAACUGCAAAAAACAGUUACUAAAAUGAUUCACUUUAUGGUUACUUUAAGGAAAAGUCACAUACUAUGCUGAACUU